rnacentral:lncRNA from 10 species
GUUCUCCUUCAGAUCACCUGACCAGUGCUGCUGCCAGCACUCAUCCCCCUCUACUACACCAUCCUGCUCAGAGGGCAGGUUUGGCAGCAUCACAGGGACCUGAGUGACUUUAUCGAGGAAUGAACUCCCUGAUUGGGGGUCAGCCCUCCUUGCUGCCUGAGUCCCAUCAUCUGGGGCUUUGCUGGGUUGGGAAAAAUAAUCCUGAGGGACAAGCUGUGGCAAGUCCAGGGGCAGGAAGGCGGCAGCUGUGAGGAGCCACAGCUAGAGAUGGUGCUGGCUGGAGGUGAGGACACUGGGAAGUGCAGCCUACCCACCCUGCCUCACUUUCUGACUGUGCCAUGGGGCUGUGGAGGGAGCCUGGAAGGACUUCUUAGCCUCGAAACACAUCUCAACCAGCAAUGUUGCUGCUGAAGCUCCCCAGUGGAGUUGUUAGAGGAGCCGGGAGAGGAAAAGACCUUGCUACCCACACUUGGGAACCAAGCGAUCCAGGUAGAAGAGGCCUCAAGCUGAGCUUCCAGGCCUAACAGGUGGCCUCUGAAGAAACCCCUAGGAGAGAAGGGACUUCGGGCAUUUCCCAGGGAGAGUGUCUCCAUCUGGUCUCAGGUGUGGGGGGAGUCCUGCCACAGCUGGUCAUCUUCUCCCCUCCCCAGCUACACACAAAAGUUCAAAUCCCCAGGUCUGGCUCAGGACCUCUGGGAGCAGCAAACCUCCCAGCUGACUUCUCUGGAGGUGAGGAAGCCAAGCCCACUAGUUCCAGCCACUCUAAACUGGGUUUCCAUGGCUUGAGGCCCAAAUCCUUUUUUUUUUUUUUGUUUUUGACACACAAUUUUGCUCUUGUUGACCAGGCUGGAGCGCAGUGGCACAAUCUCGG